rnacentral:rRNA from 1 species
AAUGAACGCUGGCGGCAGGCCUAACACAUGCAAGUCGAGCGAGCGGCGGACGGGUGAGUAAUGUCUGGGAAACUCCCUGCUGGAGGGGGAUAACAACUGGAAAAGGUAGCUAAUACCGCAUACCAUCAGAUGUGCCCAGAUGGGAUGAGCUAGUAGGUGGGGUAACGGCUCACCUAGGCGACGAUCCCUAGCUGGUCUGAGAGGGUGACCGGCCACACUGGAACGGAGACACGGCCCAGACGCCUACGGGAGGCAGCAGUGGGGAAUAUUGCACAAUGGGCGCAAGCCUGAUGCAGCCAUGCCGCGUGUGUGAAGAAGGCCUUCGGGUUGUAAAGCACUGUCGGCGGGGAGGCGUUACCCACAGAGAAAGCACCGGCUAACUCCGUGCCAGCAGCCGCGGUAAUUC